GAUGAACGCUGGCGGCGUGCCUAAUACAUGCAAGUCGAGCGAACAGGCGAGGAGCUUGCUCCUCUGACGUUAGCGGCGGACGGGUGAGUAACACGUGGAUAACCUACCUAUAAGACUGGGAUAACUUCGGGAAACCGGAGCUAAUACCGGAUAACAUGUUGAACCGCAUGGUUCAACAGUGAAAGACGGUCUUGCUGUCACUUAUAGAUGGAUCCGCGCCGCAUUAGCUAGUUGGUAAGGUAACGGCUUACCAAGGCAACGAUGCGUAGCCGGCCUGAGAGGGUGAUCGGCCACACUGGAACUGAGACACGGUCCAGACUCCUACGGGAGGCAGCAGUAGGGAAUCUUCCGCAAUGGGCGAAAUCCUGACGGAGCAACGCCGCGUGAGUGAAGAAGGUCUUCGGAUUGUAAAACUCUGUUAUUAGGGAAGAACAAAUGUGUAAGUAACUAUGCACGUCUUGACGGUACCUAAUCAGAAAGCCACGGCUAACUACGUG
rnacentral:rRNA from 1 species